GAGCUCAAAAGGUUCGCCAUCACUGGGAUAGGUAUCUAAGAAAAGGUUUCUUCUUGCCAGUUUGACGGACAGCUCUGGGCCCGUGAGAGAGACCUGGGCGAGUCAGCAGAGGGUUGGUGCUAAAUAGUGCAGAGCUCUUCUCCUGGGCACAUCUAGGCUACCUUUCUCAUCCAUGCUGGCCAUAACAUGCAGCCAUGGAAGGACUGUCCAUGGGACCUGCAGGCGAGGCCCUAAGGAACUUGGCACAGUCUGGGCAUCCCACGCUAAGUGGAAGGACUGAGGGUGUGGGAGCACAGAGCUUGGCUGCAGGAGCCAGGCCCUCUGAGUGGCUGUGUGGAUCAGGGCUCCUGCUCCCCAGAUUGCCUCCCAACUCAGAAUGAGCUAUGAAAAGAAUAAAAAGUUAACUUGACCUGCGAGGCCUCAGACAUUUUGGGGGAGGGAUGUUAGCCUGUCUUGAUUAACACAGCUGGAGUGAGUGAGCUGAGAGUCAUUUCUGUGAGUGGAGGUGAGCUGGGGGGCAAUGUGCUGCUCAGGAAAAGUCUAGUCCAGGAAGAAAGGUGGAGGAUGGAGCCUGAGGAAACCCGGCUGAAGGAGGAGCUGAAGAAGAUGGGGUCUGAGAGGAGGUGAGGGCGGCAGGUGAGCCCCGGGAGGCAGGGGCAUUUAGGAAGAGUGUGGGUGACAUUGUAAUGUGCUAGAGAGAUGUCAGGACAGAGUGACAACAGAAAAGUGUUCACAGAGGUUGUCAAGUAAAGAAGGUGAUACGCUCAGGUGGGCUGGAGCAGAAAGGUGCUGUGAGGGGCCUGAAUGAUGAAAGGGGUCAAGGGGAGCUAAUGAGUGGAGUCAGCAGUCUAAGGAACUUGUCUAGAAGAGAAAGAAGAGAGGUAAAGAAACAACUAAACAGAAGGUCAAGGGGAAAAUGUAAAACAGGAUUAUUUGCACAUGCUUAUCAAUCAUAGGUAAUGACUUACGCUCUCUGAGGAAGCAAGAAGAAAUUGGACCCACAACAGAGGUGGCAGAAUCAGGCCUCUCAGAGAAAGGACAAGAAAGUGAAGAAAGUGGGGAUCCGCCCAGAAAGCUCAGAUGGCAAAGUUUGGAAGUUUGAGAAAAGCACUGAAGACAGAUAACAAAGAGGACUGGUGGACGGAAAUGAUUAAAGGCAAGGACUUUUGAUUCUCACAGCAAAUCCAAGCCCUGCACGUCCUUGGAAUCUCUGCAGAAGCCCUGCCCCUCAGUCACCAGGCUCCAGGACUGGGGUCCGGGGCUGUGCAGAAGACAGGAUGGACUCAGAUGCAACUGGAUAUCAUGGAGGCAGUAACAAGAUAGUCCACAUGGGAGAAAAUGCAGGCCUGGGUUUGAGCAGUGGUUUAAGGGAAAGGGGAGGUGGGACUGGGAUUUAAAGACAUAAAUGCUGUAGAAUUGAGAGGACUGCAUGACCAACUAGAUAUGAGGGUUAGGACAUUGGUCCUGGAUGGGCGCCUGGGACAGACAGUGUGUCUUUAGGAGGGUCUAUCCCAGCAGUACUGACACCUACAAAGGUACACAACAGAGUCACACAUUACACAUUUUGUGGGGCUGGGGGUGUCCUACACAGCCUCUGGGUCUUCCCCCUCCCUCCUUUUACAGAGGGGACACUGAGUCCCAGGGGUGUGAAGUCACUUACCCAUGAUCGCAGAGUUAGUGUCCAAGACAGCCCUGGAACCCAAUGAUUGGAAGGGAAAGAAAAGAGUUGGAGAGAGACAGGGAGAAGAAGAGAGAAGGGGCAUGCAUUCGUUCAUCCCUCCACUCACUUCUUCAUUCGGCAAGGAGGAGUGUCCGUGGGUUUCACAGAAGCAGCGCUGGGACCUGUGUUUUCUCCGAGCCUGGCUCCUUGGGUCUGCCUACCUCAUCCUCUCACAUGCUGGGUCAGCAGUUCUCUUACUGGGGCUGUCUUGGCUUCAUUUUCACAGUUUGUGUGGCUCUCUGUAGAUGUGAAAUAAAUGUCCGUUGAAUGAUUAAAAAUGGCGAUGAGAAAAUAUUUGGAAGGGCCUCAAUCCUCCCACCACUAGGGAAAAUCUGGGAUUUUAAAACAGAAAGUUUAGUUUGCCCACAGAGCUUCCUUCUCCAGGUUCUGCAUCUUUUCAUGUGUCUUCUGAUGUUUUUGUGAAUCCUUCUGAAGUUUGGUGAACCAUUCCCAGAACAAGGUGUGUGUAUGUCUUUGUCAAGUAGUAGAUCAAUUAUUUUUUUAGAACAA